UCCACAGACUACAGCUCCCUCUUAGUCACAUUACCUGGCGGUAACUCCAUUGAAAGCUUGAGAGAUGUUUGGCAAUAAUGAAGAAACUGAGGUGGAAGAAAUUAUUUAGCUAGGUAGAACUUUGCCUAGGAAUCAACCAGGUGACCUGUGGAAGUUGUUUGCUGAUCCUUGAAGUCUGCACCAAGCCAACCGGGCUUCAGCCCAACAAGGAACACCAGCAGACUGCUUGAAGUUGGAUUUUUCAUCUAAAGAAUAUAACAAAUGGGGAAGUAUGGGCAAGAAACCAGAGAGAGUUUGAUGCUUCCGGCCCAGGUCAAAAUGCCAGAAAAUGAAAUUCAGUUCCUUGAUAACAAUGAAGUGAACAGGCUUCUAGUGGAGAGAUUCUGUGGCUUCUGUGACACGCCCCUUUCCUUUCUCCUUCUCCAGCCCUCUUUUCCACUUGGCAAUGCAAGUCACCUUCUCAGCCCUCUGGCCUCAUUAGGAUCUGCACUGAAAAUGAAGUGCUAUUUAACCACUGAACACUGUGUGAACCCAGUUCCUGCUUUCCUGCUUUGAUUUUGGAAGCUGACCAUAUCUGAGGCAAUUCUCCUGGUCUACAGCUGUAGCUGAAUUCUCCUCUUCUUUUCAUUGCCUCCAGGGCCAGGAGCCUCAGACUGCAUGAAGGCAGGAGGUGAUUGAUGGAUGCUAUAUGCCACAAGAUAUGAAGAAUCACAAAACCAAACUAAGAUUUCUGAAGCUCUCCACUCGGGACAAUUAUGAAACUCUCUCUCUCGUGCUGCCUGGAGUGCACUUCUGGGCGGCCGUCCCAUCCUGUGCCUGGCAAUCACACUGACUUUCUCUGGGGUUUAUCUAACUUGGAUUGUCUCAGAAAAGUCUUCUUGAGCUGACUCACCUCAACAUGAUGCCCUUUUGGUUUUGCAUUAUCAGCUUUUUUUCAUCUGAGAAGUUGACUGAGAGAGAAGUCUGUCAACAGAUUACAGCUUGAUCCAAUUGAUGGAGCUAUUUAAGCCACAGCACAGGGAAAUCCU